CACAUUAGCUGUGUUACCAUCUACAUUCCAAUUCUUCACAAUGAUCGCAAAGGUGAGCCGUGACUUGUGGACCCAUACUCACGUAUAUCAUUAUACAUCUCAUAGAAAGGAAUAUUAUCUAUAUAAUUACCGAUUUUAUCAGUGAUAAGAUGAAUUUCCUUUCCAGACCGCCGUCCUUCUGGCCCUUGUAGAUGUCGCCGUCGCUGCUCCCUCACAGCCCGCAUAUGGCUAUACCCCUGAGCCUACAUAUGAGGAACCUGCCAAGUACGACUUUAACUACGCAGUUAAAGAUGACUACUCUGGAAACGACUUCGGUCACCAGGAGGCCCGUGAUGGCUAUGACACCCAAGGUUCCUACUACGUUCUCCUUCCCGACGGUCGUCUGCAGAAGGUCAC
rnacentral:misc_RNA from 1 species